rnacentral:rRNA from 1 species
GACAGAGGGGGCAAGCGUUGCUCGGAAUCACUGGGCGUAAAGGGCGCGUAGGCGGGAUGGCAAGUCAGUCGUGAAAUCUCUCGGCUCAACCGAGAAACGUCGGCUGAUACUGGAAGGCUUGAAUCCGGGAGAGGGAUGUGGAAUUCCAGGUGUAGCGGUGAAAUGCGUAGAUAUCUGGAGGAACACCGGUGGCGAAGGCGACAUCCUGGACCGGUAUUGACGCUGAGGCG